rnacentral:rRNA from 1 species
CAUUAAAGUGGUACGCGGGCUGGGUUCAGAACGUCGUGGGACAGUUCGGUCCCUAUCCGUCGCAGGCGUAGGAAAUUUGAGAAGACCUGUCCUUAGUACGAGAGGACCGGGAUGGACGUACCUCUGGUGUACCAGUUGUUCUGCCAAGGGCAUGGCUGGGUAGCU